rnacentral:rRNA from 1 species
AAAACAUCGCCUCCUGCAACUCAACCAAGUAUAAGAGGUCCAGCCUGCCCAGUGACUACAAGUUUAACGGCCGCGGUAUUAUGACCGUGCAAAGGUAGCGCAAUCAUUUGUCUUUUAAAUGAAGACCUGUAUGAAUGGCCAAACGAGGGCUUAACUGUCUCUUUUUUCUAGUCAAUGAAAUUGAUCUGCCCGUGCAGAAGCGGACAUAAUAAUACAAGACGAGAAGACCCUUUGGAGCUUAAGGUACAAAACUUUAUUCACGUAAAGCAACUCCUUAAAAAGCAAAAACCUUGUGAAACAUAAAAUUUUACCUUCAGUUGGGGCGACUGCGGAGAAGAAAGAAACCUCCAAGUGGAUUGGAAAUAAACCCUAAAAUUAAGAAAAACACUUCUAAAUCACAGAAUAUCUGACCAAUAAUGACCCGGCCAACUAGCCGAUCAACGAACCAAGUUACCCUAGGGAUAACAGCGCAAUCCUCUCUAAGAGUCCAUAUCGACGAGAGGGUUUACGACCUCGAUGUUGGAUCAGGACAUCCUAAUGGUGCAGCCGCUAUUAAGGGUUCGUUUGUUCAACGAUUAAAGUCCUACGUGA